rnacentral:misc_RNA from 1 species
GAUGAAGAACGUAGCGAAAUGCGAUACGUAAUGUGAAUUGCAAAUUCAGUGAAUCAUCGAGUCUUUGAACGCACAUUGCGCCCCCUGGUAUUCCGGGGGGCAUGCCUGUCCGAGCGUCAUUGCUGCCCUCAAGCACGGCUUGUGUGUUGGGCCCCGUCCUCCGAUCCCGGGGGACGGGCCCGAAAGGCAGCGGCGGCACCGCGUCCGGUCCUCGAGCGUAUGGGGCUUUGUCACCCGCUCUGUAGGCCCGGCCGGCGCUUGCCAAUCAACCCAAAUUUUUAUCCAGGUUGACCUCGGAUCAGGUAGGGAUACCCGCUGAACCUAAGCAUAUCAAUAAGCGGAGGA